rnacentral:lncRNA from 1 species
CAGAGCAGGGAGACCCAAGCGGUCUACUUCCGAGGCGGGCCCUUCCCCGUGGCUGAGGCAGGGAGGGUCUCCUCAUGAGGACGUGGCUCUGCGACUUUACUUUCACUGGAAACGGAAGCCGUCUGUGUUUCCACCUUGCAUGCUUGUGGGGGGAUGUAGGGGCAGCGUCUGGUAUGCUGACCCCAGCCAUCGACGUGAGACGCUGGCCCUGCAGUGCAGCCCAGCCCCUCAGUGGUGAAUCAGUGCAUUGUGGACACAGGUACCAAUGUCCCCUUUGCUUUCUUUUUAUGAAGAACUCUGUCUUUUAGGGAUUGUACUUACAUGCUACUGUCAGGGAGAUCUUCCACCCAUCUCAGGAACUGAAGGAUAAAUACUCAGCAACGUUUCAGCACAGUUGCCUCUUUUGUUUGUUAUAAAACAAAAUACAGCGGGCCAGUUUCCCAGCCGGUAGAAAAAUGCCUGUGUCUUGAUAGAAAUAGGCUUCGGUUUCAUGCAAAGGAAAUUUGAGCGAGGACAGGGCACACAGUCUGUACACAGCAGUUCCACGGUGCUGUGAUCGCUCUAAUAUUC